GAUGAACGCUGGCGGCGUGCUUAACACAUGCAAGUCGAACGGUGAAAGAGGAGCUUGCUCCUCUGGAUCAGUGGCGAACGGGUGAGUAACACGUGAGCAAUCUGCCCCGAACUCUGGGAUAAGCGCUGGAAACGGCGUCUAAUACCGGAUACGAGGCGUGGGGGCAUCCCCAACGCCUGGAAAGAACUUCGGUCCAGGAUGAGCUCGCGGCCUAUCAGCUAGUUGGUGAGGUAACGGCUCACCAAGGCGACGACGGGUAGCCGGCCUGAGAGGGUGACCGGCCACACUGGGACUGAGACACGGCCCAGACUCCUACGGGAGGCAGCAGUGGGGAAUAUUGCACAAUGGGCGCAAGCCUGAUGCAGCAACGCCGCGUGAGGGACGACGGCCUUCGGGUUGUAAACCUCUUUUAGCAGGGAAGAAGCGAAAGUGACGGUACCUGCAGAAAAAGCACCGGCUAACUACGUGCCAGCAGCCGCGGUAAAAC
rnacentral:rRNA from 1 species